rnacentral:rRNA from 1 species
AGAGUUUGAUCCUGGCUCAGAUUGAACUCUGGCGGCAUGCCUUACACAUGCAAGUCGAACGGUAACAGGUCUUCGGAUGCUGACGAGUGGCGAACGGGUGAGUAAUACAUCGGAACGUGCCUAGUAGUGGGGGAUAACUACUCGAAAGAGUAGCUAAUACCGCAUGAGAUCUACGGAUGAAAGCAGGGGAUCGCAAGACCUUGUGCUACUAGAGCGGCUGAUGGCAGAUUAGAUAGUUGGUGGGAUAAAAGCUUACCAAGCCGACGAUCUGUAGCUGGUCUGAGAGGACGAUCAGCCACACUGGGACUGAGACACGGCCCAGACUCCUACGGGAGGCAGCAGUGGGGAAUUUUGGACAAUGGGCGAAAGCCUGAUCCAGCAAUGCCGCGUGCAGGAUGAAGGCCUUCGGGUUGUAAACUGCUUUUGUACGGAACGAAAAGCUUCGGGUUAAUACCCUGGAGUCAUGACGGUACCGUAAGAAUAAGCACCGGCUAACUACGUGCCAGCAGCCGCGGUAAUACGUAGGGUGCAAGCGUUAAUCGGAAUUACUGGGCGUAAAGCGUGCGCAGGCGGUUUUGUAAGACAGUGGUGAAAUCCCCGGGCUCAACCUGGGAACUGCCAUUGUGACUGCAAAGCUAGAGUACGGCAGAGGGGGGUGGAAUUCCGCGUGUAGCAGUGAAAUGCGUAGAUAUGCGGAGGAACACCGAUGGCGAAGGCAACCCCCUGGGCCUGUACUGACGCUCAUGCACGAAAGCGUGGGGAGCAAACAGGAUUAGAUACCCUGGUAGUCCACGCCCUAAACGAUGUCAACUGGUUGUUGGGUCUUAACUGACUCAGUAACGAAGCUAACGCGUGAAGUUGACCGCCUGGGGAGUACGGCCGCAAGGUCGAAACUCAAAGGAAUUGACGGGGACCCGCACAAGCGGUGGAUGAUGUGGUUUAAUUCGAUGCAACGCGAAAAACCUUACCCACCUUUGACAUGUACGGAAUCCUUUAGAGAUAGAGGAGUGCUCGAAAGAGAGCCGUAACACAGGUGCUGCAUGGCUGUCGUCAGCUCGUGUCGUGAGAUGUUGGGUUAAGUCCCGCAACGAGCGCAACCCUUGCCAUUAGUUGCUACAUUUAGUUGAGCACUCUAAUGGGACUGCCGGUGACAAACCGGAGGAAGGUGGGGAUGACGUCAAGUCCUCAUGGCCCUUAUAGGUGGGGCUACACACGUCAUACAAUGGCUGGUACAAAGGGUUGCCAACCCGCGAGGGGGAGCUAAUCCCAUAAAGCCAGUCGUAGUCCGGAUAGCAGUCUGCAACUCGACUGCGUGAAGUCGGAAUCGCUAGUAAUCGUGGAUCAGAAUGUCACGGUGAAUA